rnacentral:rRNA from 1 species
GAUCAAGUGUCUUAAGGGCAAUUGGUGGAUGCCUUGGCAUGCACAGGCGAUGAAGGACGUGAUACGCUGCGAUAAGCUACGGGGAGGUGCGAAUACCCUUUGAUCCGUAGAUUUCCGAAUGGGGAAACCCACCUAAGGUGCUUGGAAAAUCAGAGCAGCCAGUGGUCGACAAGGCCAACUUGCUGCUGUGGUUUCCAAGUAUCUGUAAUAGGUAACUUAUCCUGAAUACAUAGGGAUAAAGUGGCGAACGCGGGGAACUGAAACAUCUAAGUACCCGUAGGAAAGGACAUCAACCGAGACUCCGGCAGUAGUGGCGAGCGAACCCGGACCAGGCCAGUGGCGAUGAUGAGACAAGCGGAACCUUCUGGAAAGUAGGGCCAUAGUGGGUGACAGCCCCGUACGCGUAAUGCAAAUCAUCGUCCUCGAGUAAGGCGGGACACGUGAAAUCCUGUCUGAAAUUGGGGGGACCACCCUCCAAGCCUAAGUACUCGUGCAUGACCGAUAGCGAACUAGUACCGUGAGGGAAAGGUGAAAAGCACCCCGACAAGGGGAGUGAAAGAGUACCUGAAACCGAUUGCCUACAAACAGUGGGGGCCCGCAAGGGUGACCACGUACCUUUUGUAUAAUGGGUCAGCGACUUAGUGUGACGAGCAAGCUUAAACCGCUAGGUGUAGGCGCAGCGAAAGCGAGUCUGAACAGGGCGUUCAGUUCGUCGCAUUAGACCCGAAACCGAGUGAUCUAGCCAUGAGCAGGUUGAAGGUAAGGUAACACUUACUGGAGGACCGAACCCAUAACUGUUGCAAUAGUUCGGGAUGACUUGUGGCUAGGGGUGAAAGGCCAAUCAAACUCGGAAAUAGCUGGUUCUCCGCGAAAUCUAUUUAGGUAGAGCGUCGACCGAAUACCCCAGGGGGUAGAGCACUGGAUGGGCUAGGGGUCCUCACCGGAUUACCAAACCUAACCAAACUCCGAAUACCUGGGAGUACUAGUCGGCAGACACACGGCGGGUGCUAACGUCCGUCGUGAAAAGGGAAACAACCCUGACCUACAGCUAAGGUCCCCAAGUUAUGGCUAAGUGGGAAAGGAUGUGAGGAUCCCAAAACAACCAGGAUGUUGGCUUAGAAGCAGCCAUCAUUUAAAGAAAGCGUAACAGCUCACUGGUCUAAAUAAGGGUCUUUGCGCCGAAAAUGUAACGGGGCUCAAGCCAUACACCGAAGCUUAGGGUUCGUGAGCAAUCACGAGCGGUAGCGGAGCGUUCUGUAAGCUGAUGAAGCCAUACCCGUGAGGGGUGGUGGAGGUAUCAGAAGUGCGAAUGCUGACAUGAGUAACGUAAGGGGAGUGAGAGACUCCCCCGCCGAAAGUCCAAGGGUUCCUGCUUAAAGCUAAUCUGAGCAGGGUUAGCCGGCCCCUAAGUCGAGGCAGAAAUGCGUAGACGAUGGGAACCACGUUAAUAUUCGUGGGCCUGGAGGAAGUGACGGAUCAUUGAGGUAGUCCAAUCUUAUCGGAUUGAACGGGCUGCUGCGUGGUUCCAGGAAAUAGCUCCUCCUUAUAGACCGUACCCGAAACCGACACUGGUGGACUGGUAGAGUAUACCAAGGCGCUUGAGAGAACUAUGCUGAAGGAACUCGGCAAAUUGCACGCGUAACUUCGGAAGAAGCGUGACCCUUUUCCACGCAAGUGGAGGAGGGUGGCACAGACCAGGGGGUAGCGACUGUUUAUCAAAAACACAGGGCUCUGCGAAGUCGCAAGACGACGUAUAGGGUCUGACGCCUGCCCGGUGCUGGAAGGUUAAGAGGAGGGGUGCAAGCUCUGAAUCGAAGCCCCAGUAAACGGCGGCCGUAACUAUAACGGUCCUAAGGUAGCGAAAUUCCUUGUCGGGUAAGUUCCGACCUGCACGAAUGGCGUAACGACUUCCCCGCUGUCUCCAGCAUAGACUCAGUGAAAUUGAAUUCCCCGUGAAGAUGCGGGGUUCCUGCGGUUAGACGGAAAGACCCCGUGCACCUUUACUAUAGCUUUACAUUGGCAUUCGUAGUGGCAUGUGUAGGAUAGGUGGUAGGCUUUGAAACCUGGGCGCCAGCUCAGGUGGAGCCACCCUUGAAAUACCACCCUUAUCACUAUGGAUGUCUAACCGCGGCCCGUUAUCCGGGUCCGGGACAAUGUAUGGUGGGUAGUUUGACUGGGGCGGUCGCCUCCUAAAGAGUAACGGAGGCGCGCGAUGGUGGGCUCAGAACGGUCGGAAAUCGUUCGCUGAGUGCAAUGGCAUAAGCCUGCCUGACUGCGAGACUGACAAGUCGAGCAGAGACGAAAGUCGGUCAUAGUGAUCCGGUGGUCCCGCGUGGAAGGGCCAUCGCUCAACGGAUAAAAGGUACGCCGGGGAUAACAGGCUGAUGACCCCCAAGAGUCCAUAUCGACGGGGUUGUUUGGCACCUCGAUGUCGACUCAUCGCAUCCUGGGGCUGGAGCAGGUCCCAAGGGUAUGGCUGUUCGCCAUUUAAAGCGGUACGUGAGUUGGGUUCAGAACGUCGUGAGACAGUUCGGUCCCUAUCUGCCGUGGGUGUAGGAAUAUUGAAAGGAUCUGUCCCUAGUACGAGAGGACCGGGAUGGACGGAUCUCUGGUGGACCUGUUGUGGCGCCAGCCGCAUAGCAGGGUAGCUAUAUCCGGACGGGAUAACCGCUGAAGGCAUCUAAGCGGGAAACCCACCUUAAAACGAGUAUUCCCUGAGAACCGUGGAAGACGACCACGUUGAUAGGCCGGGUGUGGAAGAGCGGCAACGCUUGAAGCUUACCGGUACUAAUAGUUCGAUCGGCUUGAUCGUUCUCAUU